UGGGGGAUAUUGCGCAAUGGGGGCAAUCCUGACGCAGCAACGCCGCGUGAAGGAUGAAGGUUUUCGGAUUGUAAACUUCUUUUAUUAAGGACGAAAAAUGACGGUACUUAAUGAAUAAGCUCCGGCUAACUACGUGCCAGCAGCCGCGGUAAUACGUAGGGAGCAAGCGUUGUCCGGAUUUACUGGGUGUAAAGGGUGCGUAGGCGGCUUUGCAAGUCAGAUGUGAAAUCUAUGGGCUCAACCCAUAAACUGCAUUUGAAACUGUAGAGCUUGAGUGAAGUAGAGGCAGGCGGAAUUCCCCGUGUAGCGGUGAAAUGCGUAGAGAUGGGGAGGAACACCAGUGGCGAAGGCGGCCUGCUGGGCUUUAACUGACGCUGAGGCACGAAAGCGUGGGUAGCAAACAGGAUUAGAUACCCUGGUAGUCCACGCUGUAAACGAUGAUUACUAGGUGUGGGGGGUCUGACCCCUUCCGUGCCGGAGUUAACACAAUAAGUAAUCCACCUGGGGAGUACGGCCGCAAGGUUGAAACUCAAAGGAAUUGACGGGGGCCCGCACAAGCAGUGGAGUAUGUGGUUUAAUUCGAAGCAACGCGAAGAACCUUACCAGGUCUUGACAUCCAACUAACGAAGUAGAGAUACAUUAGGUGCCCUUCGGGGAAAGUUGAGACAGGUGGUGCAUGGUUGUCGUCAGCUCGUGUCGUGAGAUGUUGGGUUAAGUCCCGCAACGAGCGCAACCCUUGCUAUUAGUUGCUACGCAAGAGCACUCUAAUAGGACUGCCGUUGACAAAACGGAGGAAGGUGGGGACGACGUCAAAUCAUCAUGCCCCUUAUGACCUGGGCUACACACGUACUACAAUGGAUGUUAACAGAGGGAAGCAAGACAGCGAUGUGGAGCAAACCCCUAAAAACAUUCUCAGUUCAGAUUGCAGGCUGCAACCCGCCUGCAUGAAGAUGGAAUUGCUAGUAAUCGCGGAUCAGCAUGCCGCGGUGAAUACGUUCCC
rnacentral:rRNA from 1 species